ACGAACGCUGGCGGCAUGCCUAACACAUGCCAGUCGAACGAGACCUUCGGGUCUAGUGGCGCACGGGUGCGUAACGCGUGGGAACCUGCCCUUAGGUUCGGAAUAACUCCCCGAAAGGGGUGCUAAUACCGGAUAAUGUCUUCGGACCAAAGAUUUAUCGCCUUUGGAUGGGCCCGCGUUGGAUUAGCUAGUUGGUAGGGUAAAAGCCUACCAAGGCGACGAUCCAUAGCUGGUCUGAGAGGAUGAUCAGCCACACUGGGACUGAGACACGGCCCAGACUCCUACGGGAGGCAGCAGUGGGGAAUAUUGGACAAUGGGCGAAAGCCUGAUCCAGCAAUGCCGCGUGAGUCAUGAAGGCCUUAGGGUUGUAAAGCUCUUUUACCCGGGAUGAUAAUGACAGUACCGGGAGAAUAAGCUCCGGCUAACUCCGUG
rnacentral:rRNA from 1 species